rnacentral:rRNA from 1 species
GACGAACGCUGGCGGCGUGCUUAACACAUGCAAGUCGAACGGAAAGGUCCUGCUUUUGUGCGGUGCUCGAGUGGCGAACGGGUGAGUAACACGUGAGUAACCUGCCCUUGACUUUGGGAUAACAUUAGGAAACUGGGGCUAAUACCGGAUAUGAGCUCCUGCUGCAUGGUGGUGGUUGGAAAGUUUCGGCGUUUGGGGAUGGUCUCGCGGGUUAUCAGCUUGUUGGUGGGGUAGUGGCUUACCCAGGCUUCGACGGGUAGCCGGCCUGAGAGGGUGACCGGCCACAUUGGGACUGAGAUACGGCGCAGACGCCUACGGGAGGCAGCGGUGGAGAAUAUUGCGGAGUGAGCGGGAGCCUGUUGCAACGACGCCGCGUGCGUGAUGACGGCCUACGAGUUGUAAACCGCUUUCGCCUGUGACGAAGCGUGAGUGACGGUAAUGGAUAAAGAAGCACCGGCUAACUACGUG